rnacentral:rRNA from 1 species
AAACGAUUGAAGUCAGUCGUACCGAUGGGUAAUCAGCCUUUUGGGUGCGAUUAUGUGGUACGUGGAAAGAUUUCACGGUUGCAUAUUUGUGCCUUUUGGGUGUACUUGCUCGUAUGGUAGGUUAACAUCAAUUUCGGACAUCAUAAAAUGGCGGGAGGAAUGUAGCUUCCCCGGAAGUGUUAUAACCUCUGGUAGAUGUGAUGCCCGGGAUUGAGGAUUGCAACGAAUACCCUCAGGGCUACCUGUCUGGCCUCUGGUCGUCGCUUUGGUGCCGAAAGCGUGCUUAU